CAAACUGCAGCUCGUUCUACAAAGGAGCUGUGUUUGGGGCGGGCCUCCUCUUUAGCACAAUCCAAGAUGGCCGCUGCAGAGGACACACCCGCAAGAGACAUGAAGUAACAUGAUAAUUAUCACAUUUCUGGACCGUCGGGUCAAAACUUUUAGCUCUCGGUAAAAUAGAGGCUAAAGCAGCUCAAGGUUGUUAAGCUACUGGAUUCAUAAAAUGCAGGAGAAGACCCCCUACGUGUUCGUGGAGGUGGGCAGCGGCUCCGGAGCGGUUCGUGGUUUUCUGUGGUCGGACCUUCAGCUCUACCUAUUGUUUGUCUGAUGAUGUUUACUGUCAGGUUGGAUGAUCAGCUCAGCCUGCUGUAACCGGGUCGCCCCGUCAUCACAGAUCUGCUAACAAGAAAUUUGAGAGGCUUUGUGGAUGUCAUCACUCCAUCAGAAGAGUCAUCUGCAUCAAUGUUGAGGUGACUGAAAGUUUCUUCUCUGCGGUUGCUGCUCUCCAGAAGAGGCCACUUUGUCAAGAACAAGGCAGGAGAUCAUGGGCUGGAAGAAGAGACUGUUUCCAUAGAAACCAGCAGAGGUGAAAGACAGAUUCACUUCUCUCUCCAGCCAGUGCAGCUUCCUGAUGGCAUCACCUCUUCAUGUUGUUUCAUUAAAGACAAAUCAAAGUG